UUUCCGUAGGUGAACCUGCGGAAGGAUCAUUAUUGUAUUACAAAGGUCCGAGGACUGUCGCUAACCCACCACUACGUGCACGCUCGAGCGCCCUCACAACCCUCCCUCCCACCCCUAUGUGCCCCCCCGCGCGCGUCCACCUUUGGCUUUUUCGAAGAUGGGCUUACUUUUUACUAUAAUCUUUUUAUGCAAUGCAGUAUACAUUUUUUGUUUUUGUGAUGACGCCAUCAAUAAACCCUUCAACAACGGAUAUCUUGGCUCUCACCUCGAUGAAGAACC
rnacentral:misc_RNA from 1 species